UGGUUGGCCUGACUAUGGGUCCUCAUCCAUGCAUUUAAAAGGGACUUAUAAUGAGACUCAAACGCAGUGAACAGGACAGUCAAGGCCCUGGAUGAAUUGUGGACGAGUUAUCAAGAAAUUGGAAGAUGACAACCUAGAAGAUGCAGGAAGGACUAGUUUUGCUAAAAGUUUGGAAACUGGUAGACCGGGGAGCUGAAUCUGUCCAGAGCAGAUUUUUAAUACUCACAUGAAAGAAAGGCUUGAUCAUUUUGCAAGGCCCACACCACGUGGCCGAGAAGUCAACGACUACGAGUUUAUCUCCUGCACCAUUCAAGGCGUCCUGAAAAGCAACCUAAGAAGAAGAGAAAAGCACACGUUACAUGCUUCAUUUCCAAAAAGGUCAAACCAGCUACAUUUUACUUGAUGAUGCAGGAAAGAAGUCAAGGAAUGCUCACAAUAUCUGGUCAGUUGAAUUGUGUUUUCUGAACAUGGUUGAGCUUGGUGGGAUUUCUCUCAACACAGAGUGUAUUUCAAACACAUUCAAAGGCUCCAAAAAUUCUGAUUCAAAUUCAAGUAAAACUUAUAAAAGAGGCAACAAUAACUUUUGGUUUAACUGAACCUGAGCUACAGAACCAGACAUGCGAGGAUCUCUUAUCCUGAUACUCAAGUUUGCUUGUAAUAGACAUCAGUUUGGAAAGGAUCAGGACUGUCUUACUACAAAGCAAACCACAAUUCCUAGCACCCAGAAUCUAACAAUGAGUAUUAAAAAAAGUCCCCAUCACUGACAUUAAACAUUUCAAAAACAAAACAAUGUAUUUAUGGUAAAUAAGAGUGAGUCUAGCAUCUUUUCCUAAACA